GACAGAGGGUGCAAACGUUGUUCGGAAUUAUUGGGCGUAAAGAGCUCGUAGGCGGUCUGUCACGUCGGAUGUGAAAGCCCGGGGCUUAACCCCGGGUCUGCAUUCGAUACGGGCAGACUAGAGUGUGGUAGGGGAGAUCGGAAUUCCUGGUGUAGCGGUGAAAUGCGCAGAUAUCAGGAGGAACACCGGUGGCGAAGGCGGAUCUCUGGGCCAUUACUGACGCUGAGGAGCGAAAGCGUGGGGAGCGAACAGG
rnacentral:rRNA from 1 species